AGUUAAGUUUAACCAUAUUAAUUUUUGAAGGUAGUUGGAUUUAAUUUGGAUUUUAUAUGGAAUUUUGAAUGUUGUACGCUGCUGCUGUUUUUUGGUUUCUAAGACACUGCAGAGCAGUCACGAUUUUGCUUAUAUUCCCAAAGUUAGAGUAAGUAAAAAAUUGUGAUUUUUAGUUUAAUGGAAAGCCUAAUUCGAGACGGUCGCAUAGAUAUAAAGUUUGUGUAAUUUCGAAUUCAUUUGGUAUUUUAAAAAUAGAAUUGAAAUUAGACUGCCGUAGUUAUUUUUGGUAAUAACCUUGGCUAUGGCCUAUGGGACUUAAGAAUAGAUUUUUAUGCUAUUAUCAGAUAUUUUUGAGAGUGUAUUAUUUUGAUAAUUGUAGAGAAAUGGUUGAUGAAUUGUUGAGGUUGAGAAAACCCGUAAGGGUGGUUUAAAUCCAUUUUUAGUAGAAGUUAUAUCCAAAUUUUUAUAAAAAUAUAAUGAUUUAGUUAAACCUUUUGGUUAUGUUGGUUGGGUAAUUUUCUCACAUGUUUAUGCUAACUAAAUAAUUUGAAACUAUAGGUACUAGAGAAAGUAAAGCUCAAAUUUUUUAGACAAAAUUUUUUAGAAUUGCAUUAAUUGACAUCAUAUUGUUAUUGAUCUUGUCCUAGAUAUUAAUUGCUAAUUUCAUUUUAUAACUAUCUUUUGAUCUUAUAGGUACUUUACAUCAACAAAGUGUUGGUGCUGAAGGUUUAAAAACUAUUUUAAAGCUUAGGAGGAAUGACUCUGCUGCAUCUAAUAUAAGUAGUGUUGCUUCUUAUUGUGUUGCAAUAUUAUGCUUAUUAUUUCAGAUUUUGUUUGUAGCUCCUUUAAAGCUUAUGAGUAGCUUGUGUUUCGAUGAAAAGCUAUUUGUUCUGUCACUUUUCAAGGUCUUGGUUUCUAUCUCAGAAACUGCUCCCAUCAUUUUAUACAUUAGAGAUGUUGAGAGCCUUAUUCUACAAUCACCAAGAUUAUACAACUUGAUACAUAAUACUUCACUGUUUUUGAAAGGAGAUGUAUGAACAUGAUGGAGUUUGUAAUUUGUAGUUUAUAUUUUGGAGAUCUAUAAUUCCUUGUUUUUCUUGUCCUAUGUAUCUAUCUAGUUCAUUAGGGUUUUUCAACGUGUCUUGUUAGUUUGUACUUUAAAGUUUAUAUGUUAAAGAUUUAUAAAACAAUCUUAGUUAAAUGAAAGAUAUUUAAACUAUCUAUGUUA